CCGAUGCUAGUGGCGCACGGGUGAGUAACACGUGGGAAUAUGCCCUUUAGUACGGAAUAACACGAGGAAACUUGUGCUAAUACCGGAUAAGUCUUUACGGAGAAAGCUUUAUGCACCAUUGGAUGAGCCCGCACUUGAUUAGUUAGUUGGUAGGGUAAUGGCCUACCAAGACUGUGAUCAAUAGCUGAUUUGAGAGGAUGAUCAGCCACAUUGGGACUGAGACACGGCCCAGACUCC
rnacentral:rRNA from 1 species